GGGAGCAGGGCUGGGGCCUUCUCUUCUGCCACAUGAGGCAGCAAGACAGCCUUCAUUAAAUCUGUAAAAAGGGGAAAAUUAAUCUUGGUGAGAUCCAAGUGAGUUAGGCACAGUGAGUGCUUGGUGGGAGCCCGGCACAGUGGGCGCUGGGGAAGUCUCCAUCCCUGUGGGUUGGUGCAGCCAGAUGCUGCAGGAAGUAGAAUGUGAACCUGACCUGUCUGUCUCCCUGCCCCAGGGAAUGAGGAUUUUUGCCUCCUGUGAUUAAAAGGGUCCAACACAGUUCCAGAUGGCACAGGGUCCCAGGUUGGUGGCCCUAAACAUCAGCCCUGUGACCUAUAUCUCAGCCUUGCUGUCCCACACAUCUGGUCGAGAAUGAGUGAGCAAGGGGUUUUCCUACUCUUGUCUCCCUGUGGUGAGGCUACUUGCUCUGUACGGCAAGGUAGAAGGCUUUUCAGUUAAAUUAGAAUCCCACCUUGGUGCCGGGAUUUAGCUCAGUGGUUCCGCCACCUGCCUCACAAGCACAAGGUCCCGAGUUCGAUCCCCGGUACCAAAAAGAAAAAGAAUCCACCUUGGUGGCGCACGCUGAGGAGGCUGAGGCAAGAGGAUUGCUGUGGGUUCAAAGCCAGCCUGAACUACAUAGGGAGACCCUGUCUCAAAAAUCAAAACAACAAAAAAAGAAAGAGACAGAGAAAGAGACCUGGUUCUAAGAAAAAUAUUAAGUAGCUAGACCGUGGCACGGUGAGUGAAGACUUGGCAGAUGCCCCAGUUGGGAAUACUUGAGAGGAAACCUUCACCAUCCCUCCUCCAUUUGGCGGACGUGUUCUCCACCUAGCGGCCACAGUGCGGAACUAUAGGCUGUUUUUUUGGUGGCCAUGGGAGCAGUUUAAGGUCAACCGAAUAUUUUGCCAGAAGGUGAGAGAGAGGACGUUAGUGAGACUCGGCCAGAAAACAUCUUUAACGAGUUGCAGACCACUUGAAAAAUAUCCCAAAGAAGUCCUCCUACAAAACAGGCAAAAGUAAAAAGAGAGACCUGAAGAAUCCAGCCAAGGGCCUGGAUCCCACAGCAACAUCCUGCACAAGUCCAGCCAGAGGCCCAGAGCCCACAGCAGUGUCUCAUGCAAGUCCCUAUUGAGGAUCUGCACCCAGAAGCCCCAAAGGCCAGUGGUGGAAGCCAGAAACCCUGCACCUGCAGGGUGAAGAAUCUGUGCCAUCAGGCUGAGUCAUCUGCACUGGAGCCAGGAAGCAAUGCUCAAGGUAAGGACCAGAGCUCCCCUGACGACAACAACAGCCAUUCCCAGCAACAGCAAGGACCUGAGCUCCUCUGACGAUGAGAGAACAGCCAAGUUCACAUCAGGAAAACCAGCCGAGGCAAGCUUCUCCAAGAAAAUCAGCAGCCCACGAUCUUCCCCUCCAGUUCUCCUUUUAUGCCAUUGCCAACAAUCCUCAGAUGGGUCUUCCAUGCCCAGACUAUGCUGACUCAGUUAAACUGGGCGUUCCAAAUUGACUAUUAGUUAAUCCAGUGCAGACAGCAACACCCCAAACACAAACCACAAAACUAAGUCCCUGAAAAGGUGCAAGGAGGGAACUGAACAGAGAGCGAGUAAUGCACACCAAAAACACAGCUAAACGGCAAAAAUCAGGGCUUUCUUCUUGGCAAUUACUAUAAAUAUAAAUGGGCCAAACUGUCCAGAUGCACAGGGUGGGUUACAAAAACAGGAUCUCUAUAUGCUGUAUUUAAUGAUGCUCACUUUGAGUACAAAGAUACAGAAAGAUUGCAAAGGU
rnacentral:lncRNA from 1 species